GAUGAACGCUGGCGGUAUGCCUAACACAUGCAAGUCGUACGAGAGUUUUUAACUCUAGUGGCGGACGGGUGAGUAACACGUAAGAAUUUGCCUUUAGGAGGGGGACAACAACUGGAAACGGUUGCUAAUACCCCAUAUGCUUUUGAGUGAAAUGGAUUUUAUCCGCCUAGAGAGAAGCUCGCGGCUGAUUAGCUUGUUGGUAAGGUAAGAGCUUACCAAGGCGACGAUCAGUAUCUGGUUUGAGAGGACGAUCAGACACACUGGAACUGAGACACGGUCCAGACUCCCACGGGAGGCAGCAGUGGGGAAUUUUCCGCAAUGGGCGAAAGCCUGACGGAGCAAUACCGCGUGAGGGAAGAAUGCCUAUGGGUUGUAAACCUCUUUUUCAGGGAGGAAUAAAAUGACGUGUACCUGAAGAAUAAGCAUCGGCUAACUCCGUG
rnacentral:rRNA from 1 species